UACGAAGGGGGCUAGCGUUACUCGGAAUUAUUGGGCGUAAAGCGUGCGUAGGCGGCUUAGUAAGUUGAGAGUGAAAGCCCAGGGCUUAACCCUGGAAUUGCUUUCAAAACUGUUAAGCUAGAGUCUUGGAGGGGAUGGCAGAAUUCCUAGUGUAGAGGUGAAAUUCGUAGAUAUUAGGAGGAAUACCAGAAGCGAAAGCGGCCAUCUGGACAAGUACUGACGCUGUUGCACGAAAGCGUGGGGAGCAAACAGG
rnacentral:rRNA from 1 species